rnacentral:rRNA from 1 species
AGGACGAACGCUGGCGGCGUGCUUAACACAUACAAGUCGAACGCGCUUGACUCCUUCGGGAGUGAAGCGAGUGGCGAACGGGUGAGUAACACGUGAGCAACCUGCCCUUGACUCUGGAAUAACAGCUGGAAACAGCUGCUAAUACCGGAUACGACCUCCGACGGCAUCAUCUGGAGGUGGAAAGCUCCGACGGUCAAGGAUGGGCUCGCGGCCUAUCAGCUUGUUGGUGAGGUAACGGCUCACCAAGGCUUCGACGGGUAGCCGGCCUGAGAGGGCGACCGGCCACGACUGGGACUGAGAUACGGCCCAGACUCCUACGGAGGCAGCAGUGGGAAUAUUGCACAAUGGGCGCAAGCCUGAUGCAGCAACGCCGCGUGCGGGAUGACGGCCGUUCGGUUGUAAACCGCUUUACAGUAGGACGAAGUAACCUGACGUACCUACGAGAAGAAGGACGGCCAACUACGUGCCAGCAGCCGC